rnacentral:lncRNA from 1 species
UGUCUGGAUUCGAGACUUUUUGAUAGGUCUUCAUAAUGUGAAUUUGAAUUAAAUAGAAAAACAUAAACAAUACAAGGAGUCUGAUGUGACUCGAAUUCGAAACCUCCUAUUCUGAUAUUAGGUUAAAUUUGAGGAUAUGAUAUGAGUCCGGCUACUAUACUCUUAUGAGUACGAUCGCCCUCGUACUCAUAAGUUAUUUUCGAUGAUAAAGCUUCCGAAUUGACGAUUCACACCGUUAAACGUUAUCUAGAACAUUCAAAACUUCUAGAAAUUAAAAUUUAUAAUUUUUCGAUAUCAUUUACCUUACGAUCAAAAGUUCACAAAUUUAACAAUUUUUAACGGCCGGUAUGAGAUACUUACUAGUUUAACGGUGUAAAAGAAUUGGAAUAGGCUGAGUUUUUAAUAGAAAAUUCUAUUCGCUACCUAGAUAAAGAUAAAUAACUCCGAUUUUAAAUUGGAGAAUCCGAUCAUCUAUUUUUAGGACGUCGUUCGAUAUUGACCAUUCAUUUUAUGCCCGCUUGAUGGGACUUUAUUAUAUUUCGAAAAAUUAUGAAAUUUAUUUUCUAGAAGUUUCAAAUACUGUAGAUCAUAUUUAAUGGAGUAGAUCAUCGAUUCGAAAACUCUAUCAUCGAAAACAACUUAUGAAUACGAAGG